ensembl:lncRNA
GAAAAUCCCUCAAUGCUCAACCUUUCACAAACCAAGAGGAGUGUCAGUUUUCAUCAGCAUUUCUCCGGGAAGGAGACAAGCAGAGGACUAGCCCCUCAACCCUGGACCUGGACCCACUGAAAUUUGCCAGGGAUUGGCAGAUGCAAGUGGUCUUGGAUCACAGGCUAAUUUUUCCCACAGAGAUCAUAACAACUACUCUGCGACCAGACCUCUUCCUUUGGUCUAACUCCCCAAAACUUGUGUACAUCAUUGAGCUGAUGGUACCAUGGGAGGAUGCAACUGAGGAAGCAAGCAUUAAGAAUCUGUGGUAUGCCGACUUGGCAGCUGAGGCAGAGGACAGAGGCUGGAAGAUCAAGGUGCGCUCCGUGCAAGUGGGGUGCAGGGGCUUUGUUGCCAGUACAACAGCAAAACUGCUUAGAGAGAGUGGGAUCAGAGGACAGGCGCAACGACAGGCUAUAAGAGAUUUAGCUAACAAUGUCGGGAGGACCAGUCGCCGGCUGUGGCUAAAGAGGGCUGACAUCACUUGGGCUGCGAAGGCAGUCAGCUAACCGUAAGACACACGCCCAGGAUUGAUUAACCCGUGGUGGGUUUGCCUUAGUAGAGGACGUCAAAAGGGUAGAAAACCUAACAUUAGAAAUUUUGCUGGUUGACUGAUACAGCUGUCUCAGGGCCUCCUGGGCAGUUAACCUCAUGGUAGUAAAACCUAAAGGAGGAAUGAAAGAAAAAAAGAAAAGGAAAAAGGUUCCCUUCCUCUCCCCUCUGCUCUUCUUCCCUUUUCUGGGAGGUAGAGCGUACAGCGCAAUCUGGUGGGGAGGUGCGGGAUGCCAGAUCAGAUGCCCCCCUUCUGGCUCUCCUCUCUGCUCUCUAAUAUCUUGUCCUUUUCACUUACUUCUCUCUCUCACCUUUUCUGUCCAUUUGAAGAAGUUAGGCUGUUAAAGAGGUAAGUAUUACUUCUCAGUUGCAGUGAACAGAUAGAAGAAAUUAAACUGCAGAAAACUAAACAGAUGAAAGUAGAAGAGAAAGAACUUAACAUAAACCAGUGACACACUCGGGGGCCUGAUUAACCCUGGCAGGGCCUCCUUGGAUGAGGGUGUCUAGUGAUGAUAGCAAAAAAAAACCCGAUGAAUCCAAGGUCCAUUACUGAAGAUGUGACCCAAAUUUAAAAUGAUAAUGUAUAUCUGAUCUCUAAUCCCUAAACCUAACCAAGGAAGGAAAAAAAUGGUAGAUUAGCUUGGAUAAAAGACCAAAACACUCUGUGAAGGCACACAACAAUGGGACCCACUGGUAAAGUUUCUGGGCUGCCUUUCCUCAUAACAGCCACCCCUCAAGAUUUUCUCCACUUAAAGCAAUGCAUUAUCAGUGAUUGUAGCAUCUAUUCCUUUAACUGAAUGUACCACACCAGGCAAGACCCCAGGUCCAGGCUGUGUAAAGAUGCCCUUGAGGCAAUCCAGGACAUAACAGCAGGAUGCUAGAUGCUAGCAGGAAGGCCAUGCAUGCAACUCUAUAACCAAUCGGCUGGCAUAGUAUAUGGGAAAUCUGUCAGGAGUAUUACUUGGAAAUCCUGAGGUCAAAAUGGGACUCACCCCCUAGGGUAGUUGAGAAUGGUCGAGUUAAGAUCCUGUAGGACUUUCAGAUACACACAGAGAAACUGGUGAUGACUAACUAAUGGACAUGAUAGUAUUGGACAAGGAGAGGAAGAUGACCAUAGUGAUAGAUAUUGCUGUACUGAAUGAGAGCAACAUCAAGAAGAAGGAACAUGAGAAGCUGGAAAAGUACCAAGGGCUGAGGGAAGAACUCAAGAAGAUGUGGAGGGUUAAUGUCCCACACUCGGUGCAGUGACCAGCAAGCUGGGAGAGUGGCUCUAGCAGAUCUCAGGAACAAUACUCGAAUCUUGUGUCCAGAAUAGCUCAGUCCUAGAAACAGCAAACAUACUGCACAGGACCCUCAAGUUCCCAGCCCUCUGGUAGAGGACCCGAGUUUGAAGGAUAAAGACUGCCCACAGGGCGAGAGGGGAACUUUUUAUGCAAAGUCAUGAUGUAGAUUUCCCAACGAAGUCUAAAUCAAGUUUAACUUUCUCUGUCACUACUUAAUGGAUGAAAAGGCAUUUCAUGGCAUGCUGCAAGGGGCAACAAAGAGCAUUGCAACAUUUUGAGCAAGUGUAAGAGUGUAAGUGAACCCAAGUGGUAAUAGCUUAUUUUUUAAGUAAGUGUGCUUAUAAUUAAAGUUGCUAUCAGAUUAUUCCAAACAAUAAAACAUUGUUAGUACUUUACAUCAAACCCAACACCCCAACUACUUUGGUCCAAACUUGGGUACCAAGUUUUGGACACAUUAUAGAGCAUAGGGACGCUACAAUUAGACAGUUAAAAAUACAUUUUUAAGUUUGACUUUUGUAAGUAGCUGUAGCUUUUCACAGCCUUUUUUUUUUCCAUUUCUUAACACCUCUGCUGAGAACAAAAAGUGACUACAUGUAACUGGUAGGUGCUUAUGUGAACAGGGAAGGUGCCCAACCACAGAGCUGCCACCUCUUUUACUGCAAACUGAAACUUCACCACAGAGAACAAAGGAAAUAUGUUCUCACAACAACACUGCAAUUGGCCAAACCAGAACAGUGUGGUAGGAAGUACCAUCAGCUUCUGAUUACAGGACGUAGCUGCUGCGGUUUUACUCACAGAACUUUUUGAGCAGUUAAAAAGAUUCAUUGUAAUACAUUUGUCUAUUUAUACACUUCAUACUCAUAUGUAUUGAUAUUCACAUUGCUAAUAACUUGUCUGUAUGAAACCCAGAUAGCAAUUCUAUUCUAUUCUAUUGAAUUCAAUUUUAUACAAAUAGAACCAAAUCAGAGCAGUCCCCACAAGUCAAUUUAUAUUGAAAGGUAAAGAUCCUACAGGAAUUCAUAGAAAAUUCCAACAAUCAAAUGAUCCCCCACUUGGUGACAGUGAGAAGGAAAAACUCUAGUUGGAGGUGAGUGGAGGAAGAUAAGACAAAAGACACACUUUAGCUUAAUCAGAGCUGAAUUUGGGACUACCAAAAAGUUGCAACACACUUGACAAUGUUACGGAUGUAAGGUGUACUUUUGGCUGAGUCUAUAUUAUUAGUUAAGGACAAGCUUGGCCACACUUAUUAGUUUUGAUAAUGGUCAGUCUUAUCAAAUGAGGUCUUAUUGUUGUUAGGUCUUAUUUGUGGAAUUUCUUGUAGCCUACAUUUUUUAUAUUUAACAAACAAUCUGCAUAGGUAAAAGGAAUAUUUUUCUAAUGUACCUUGAAUCAACCCACAACACAAGACCAAUUUUAAAAAUAUCUCUAAAUCUUAUUUGUUUUAGAUUUAUUUUGUUUGUUUUGUUUUAUUAUGUCUACAUGAAAAAUGUUAGUAAAUUGAAUUCUGAAUUUUCUCACCAGGAGAUGGUCGCUCCUGUAGCCACUUCUGUAAUUCUUGUUUUAAAAUGCACUUUAAGUAAAUCUGUCCUGGAUAAUCUGGAUUGUCAGGUUUUUCAAAAUGCUGCUGUUACCUGUUAACUGGGUCACACAGAAUCAAAACACCACAGACGGAGACAAAGAAGAGCAGCUGUACCUCUUGUCUUUGAUCUGGUUUUCUUCUCUUUGAUGAUGAUUCGACCAUAACUGACAUCUUCUGUUCUUACUGCAGAGUAGACUGCUGCUGGAUCACUCUCUGAACAAUAACACACAAUGUUGGUGUUGAAU